UACGUAGGGUGCAAGCGUUAAUCGGAAUUACUGGGCGUAAAGCGUGCGCAGGCGGUUAUGUAAGACAGGUGUGAAAUCCCCGGGCUUAACCUGGGAACUGCAUUUGUGACUGCAUAGCUAGAGUACGGUAGAGGGGGAUGGAAUUCCGCGUGUAGCAGUGAAAAUGCGUAGAUAUGCGGAGGAACACCGAUGGCGAAGGCAAUCCCCUGGACCUGUACUGACGCUCAUGCACGAAAAGCGUGGGGGAGCGAAACAGG
rnacentral:rRNA from 1 species